CAGCAGUCGCGUCAACACAAGGAAGACAAGUGUUAUUCAUCUUAGAUCGGUUUAAAGGGUACCUAGACGGUGAAUUAGUCCUUAAAUGGAACGUUUUUACUAGAGUUAUAUAUGCAUGAGGACUGUGUGAGUAUUACCAGAGUAGAGAUGUAAUUUUUUGAUACUGUUAAGAGUGGUAAAGGCAAAAGCAAACCUUUAUAUAUUAACUGACGUUGAGGGACGAAGGCUUGGGGCGCAAACAGGAUUAGAUACCCCAGUAGUCCAGGCAGAGAAUUAUGAAUGUCAUAGAAUAGAUAUAAUAUUUAUCCUAUAAAUGAAAGUGUAAGCAUUCCACCUCAAGAGUAAUGUGGCAACGCAGGAACUGAAAUCAUUAGACCGUUUCUGAUACCAGUAGUGAAGUAUGUCGUUCAAUUUGUUAACCCUCAAAAAACCUUACCACAAUUUGAAUAUAUUUAAUAGAUAUAUAUUUUUAUAUCUUUAUUUAUACAAGCGUUGCAUUGUUGUCUUCAGUUAAUGUUGUGAGAUUUUGGUGAGAUUCAUUAAAUUAACGUAAUCCUAUAUUCUAUUUAAAUAUUAAUAGAUUAGGUCACCGCUAUAUUGGAUAUUGAUAACCGGGAGUAAGACUAGACGUAAUGACCUUAAUAUUGUGGUCAAUGAGACGUGGCACA
rnacentral:rRNA from 1 species